rnacentral:rRNA from 1 species
UUAGACAAUGGGCGGCACCCUGAUCUAGCCAUGCCGCGUGAGUGAUGAAGGCCUUAGGGUCGUAAAGCUCUUUCGCUGGGGAAGAUAAUGACGGUACCCAGUAAAGAAACCCCGGCUAACUCCGUGCCAGCAGCCGCGGUAAUACGGAGGGGGUUAGCGUUGUUCGGAAUUACUGGGCGUAAAGCGCGCGUAGGCGGAUCAGAAAGUUGGGGGUGAAAUCCCGGGGCUCAACCUCGGAACUGCCUCCAAAACUCCUGGUCUUGAGUUCGAGAGAGGUGAGUGGAACUCCGAGUGUAGAGGUGAAAUUCGUAGAUAUUCGGAAGAACACCAGUGGCGAAGGCGGCUCACUGGCUCGAUACUGACGCUGAGGUGCGAAAGUGUGGGGAGCAAACAGGAUUAGAUACCCUGGUAGUCCACACCGUAAACGAUGAAUGCCAGUCGUCGGGUAGCAUGCUAUUCGGUGACACACCUAACGGAUUAAGCAUUCCGCCUGGGGAGUACGGUCGCAAGAUUAAAACUCAAAAUUU